rnacentral:lncRNA from 12 species
AUGUGUGGAAAAACCCGUCUCCCCAGGCCUCCUUCUCUGUUUCAAGGUGAAACCGGCGACUUCCCUCACUGCGUCUCUGGGAGCCGGAUGAGCCUAAUGAUCUGCUCGCUGUGCGCUGGCACCGACGGGAACUGCCACGGAGCCUCCAGUCUUUCCAGAAGCAGGUCUGCUUCUGGGCCAUCCGACCUAAGAUUUGGAAGUCUGUUUGACCCUUGCCUGCCCUCCCGGGAGCCCCAGGGUGUGUCCCUUGUGGCCCAUGACCAGCACGUCUCCCUGAUUGGGCCGCGAGUGCAGGGAAACGUCCAGAUCGGGAUCUCUGCAGCGCCCCAGAUUCGCAAGCACUGUGGAAGGUGAGCUGGGAAGAUCUCUGAGGGGGGGUUCCUUAGCCUCCGCAUCUGUAAAAUGGGAGUAAUAAUCGUAUUGAUAUUAAUGGACCGUGUGAGCAGGGAACUUGCAGAUGGGAAGCAGCACCGGGCACCUCCUGAGGGCCAUGGGCGUUGGCGGUUGCCCCUGGCAUUCAGGCAUGUACCGUCUUGUCAGGCCUCGGGCUCCUGGUUGGGUUGACACCAGGGCCCUGUGUGGGGGUCCUCAGAACCGAUCCGAGGGUUCCGUGCACGGGUUGGAAUGCUCUGGUAGGGCGCCCCGUGAAGCCCGUGGUGGGGAAGGGCCCUGGCGGCCACUGUCAGAGGAGCAGGGUACGAGCUGCUGUCGUGUGCCAGGUUCACGGGCCCGUGCUUCCUCCGCCUCCUUUUGAGUGGGGAGCCGAGUGUGCAGGCUUGCACACACACUGCAGGGACAGGGACGGCGAGCGUGGCGGGCGGGAGCACGGCAGCUCCCCCGCGUUCCCCAGGCGCCCGCGCUAAGGGCCUGAUUAACUUAAAAUAUUUCCCGGCUUCUGAAGCACUUGAUUAAAGUCAAUUGGGGGGAAAGAAGAUAAGCGCUUACAGGAGCUAAUUUGAGGCUGAGAAAACCUGACUCGGCCUCGACGUCAAGUUGCGGGGUCCGCGGGGGCCCAGGGAGCGUCCCCUGCCCCAGAUCCGCGGCCCGCACUUGCUCUUGGCCGCCUGGCUGCCCAGCCGCUCAUUCCCUCCGUCUUCUCGCUCCUUCCCCUCGUGAGGGCUUAGAUGAUUUUCCCUUUUGAAGGCAUAGAAAUAGAUGGCUUUGGAUUCAGAACACAGCCUCUGCGCCGGCUUCCUCCCCCUCCUGCCUGGAAAAAAUCAAAGCAGGGCUUUAGUGAUGCUGUCCCCUGGCAUCCUCUUGAUGUGUUAAUGGGUCACGCUUGCUGCCCUGCCGUCCCUGCUGCCAGGGACACUAUUAUAUGGGCAGAUCUUUCUCCCUUUCCCCUCAGAUCAGG